rnacentral:rRNA from 1 species
CCUACGGGAGGCUGCAGUGGGGAAUAUUGCACAAUGGGCGCAAGCCUGAUGCAGCCAUGCCGCGUGUGUGAAGAAGGCCUUCGGGUUGUAAAGCACUUUCAGCGGGGAGGAAGGCGUUAAGGUUAAUAACCUUGUCGAUUGACGUUACCCGCAGAAGAAGCACCGGCUAACUCCGUGCCAGCAGCCGCGGUAAUACGGAGGGUGCAAGCGUUAAUCGGAAUUACUGGGCGUAAAGCGCCCGCAGGCGGUCUGUCAAGUCGGAUGUGAAAUCCCCGGGCUCAACCUGGGAACUGCAUUCGAAACUGGCAGGUUAGAGUCUUGGAGAGGGGGGUAGAAUUCCAGGUGUAGCGGUGAAAUGCGUAGAGAUCUGGAGGAAUACCGGUGGCGAAGGCGGCCCCCUGGACAAAGACUGACGCUCAGGUGCGAAAGCGUGGGGAGCAAACAGGAUUAGAUACCCUAGUAGUC